rnacentral:rRNA from 1 species
GUCUUCGGACCUAGCGGCGGACGGGUGAGUAACGCGUGGGAACAUACCCUUCACUACGGAAUAGUCCCGGGAAACUGGGUUUAAUACCGUAUACGCCCUUCGGGGGAAAGAAUUUCGGUGAAGGAUUGGCCCGCGUUAGAUUAGGUAGUUGGUGGGGUAACGGCCUACCAAGCCUACGAUCUAUAGCUGGUUUUAGAGGAUGAUCAGCCACACUGGGACUGAGACACGGCCCAGACUCCUACGGGAGGCAGCAGUGAGGAAUCUUAGACAAUGGGGGCAACCCUGAUCUAGCCAUGCCGCGUGUGUGAUGAAGGCCUUAGGGUCGUAAAGCACUUUCGCCAGGGAUGAUAAUGACAGUACCUGGUAAAGAAACCCCGGCUAACUCCGUGCCAGCAGCCGCGGUAAUACGGAGGGGGUUAGCGUUGUUCGGAAUUACUGGGCGUAAAGCGCACGUAGGCGGAUCGGAAAGUUGGGGGUGAAAUCCCGGGGCUCAACCCCGGAACUGCCUCCAAAACUAUCGGUCUGGAGUUCGAGAGAGGUGAGUGGAAUUCCGAGUGUAGAGGUGAAAUUCGUAGAUAUUCGGAGGAACACCAGUGGCGAAGGCGGCUCACUGGCUCGAUACUGACGCUGAGGUGCGAAAGUGUGGGGAGCAAACAGGAUUAGAUACCCUGGUAGUCCACACCGUAAACGAUGAAUGCCAGUCGUCGGGUAGCAUGCUAUUCGGUGACACACCUAACGGAUUAAGCAUUCCACCUGGGGAGUACGGUCGCAAGAUUAAAACUCAUAGGAAUUGACGGGGGGCCCGC